UACGUAGGUGGCAAGCGUUGUCCGGAAUUAUUGGGCGUAAAGCGCGCGCAGGUGGUUCCUUAAGUCUGAUGUGAAAGCCCACGGCUCAACCGUGGAAGGUCAUUGGAAACUGGGGAACUUGAGUACAGAAGAGGAAAGUGGAAUUCCAAGUGUAGCGGUGAAAUGCGUAGAUAUUUGGAGGAACACCAGUGGCGAAGGCGACUUUCUGGUCUGUAACUGACACUGAGGCGCGAAAGCGUGGGGAGCAAACAGG
rnacentral:rRNA from 1 species